GGACUACCGGGGUAUCUAAUCCUUAUCGCUCCCCACGCUUUCGUCCUAGCAGUGUCAGGAAACACCCAGAAGCCUGCCUACGCUAUUGGUGUUCCGAACGAUAUCAACGCAUUUCACUACUACACCGUUCGUUCCAGCUUCCUCUUUGUUCCUCUAGUUUUACAGUUUCAAAAGACAGUCUCCCAGUUAAGCUGAGAGAUUUCACUUCUGACUUGUAAAACCACCUAUCGGUACGCUUUACGCCCAAUGAUUCCGGAUAACGCUUGAGGUCUCUGUAUUACCGCGGCUGCUGGCAC
rnacentral:rRNA from 1 species